CGGGUGAGUAAUACAUAAGUAACCUGCCCUAGACAGGGGGAUAACUAUUGGAAACGAUAGCUAAGACCGCAUAGGUACGGACACUGCAUGGUGACCGUAUUAAAAGUGCCUCAAAGCACUGGUAGAGGAUGGACUUAUGGCGCAUUAGCUGGUUGGCGGGGGUAACGGCCCACCAAGGCGACGAUGCGUAGCCGACCUGAGAGGGUGACCGGCCACACUGGGACUGAGACACGGCCCAGACUCCUACGGGAGGCAGCAUG
rnacentral:rRNA from 1 species